rnacentral:lncRNA from 1 species
AAGAGGAGACAGCAGAGUUCCAGAAAAAGCCACAGAAAAAAAUUUGAGGCUACUAUGUGCCAGAGACAAGGUCCUAGUGUGUUACCCAGGCUGGUCUUGAAUUCCUGGGCUCAAGCUGUCUUCCCACCCUGGCCUCCCAAAAUGUUGGGAUUACAGGUGUGAGCCACCACACCUGGCCAUGGCUGCCUCUUGAGAGAGAUUCUGAAGCCACUUCUAG